CUGGGCAAAGGCAGAGAAAUCUUUUGUCUUGAGGACACUGAUGGACAGGUCCUGGCUAAGGAUUGUGAAAUCCUCUAAGGAGCACAGAUGGACAAGGCCAGGGGCAACGAGAGAGAAGAUAAGCUGCUGCUAAUGGCUGGGAAACGGUCUUUUUGUGUGGACUUAUCUCGAGGAAGAUGGCCAUCUCAGGAGGUAUGCCCAGGACUCUUGCUCAAGCACCCAGGAAUGUCACGUAGGCAGGAGAAAAUGGAGGAUAAAAGAGGGUCCAACAACCACGGCGAAGUAGAGGCUUAUCUCGCACCACGACAGACUUGAGGGGUUCUCUGCCAUCUGAUCCUUCACCACAACCGAGAGGCUGAUCUCUCACCGCAACGUGGAGACUGAUCUCUCA
ensembl:lncRNA